rnacentral:rRNA from 1 species
AUUGAACGCUGGCGGCAUGCUUUACACAUGCAAGUCGAACGGUAACAGGGUGCUUGCACCGCUGACGAGUGGCGAACGGGUGAGUAAUGCGUCGGAACGUGCCGAGUAGUGGGGGAUAACGCAGCGAAAGUUGUGCUAAUACCGCAUACGUACUGAGGGAGAGAGUGGGGGACCUUCGGGCCUCACGCUAUUAGAGCGGCCGACGUCUGAUUAGCUAGUAGGUGAGGUAAAGGCUCACCUAGGCGACGAUCAGUAGCGGGUCUGAGAGGAUGAUCCGCCACACUGGGACUGAGACACGGCCCAGACUCCUACGGGAGGCAGCAGUGGGGAAUUUUGGACAAUGGGCGAAAGCCUGAUCCAGCCAUGCCGCGUGUCUGAAGAAGGCCUUCGGGUUGUAAAGGACUUUUGUCAGGGAGGAAAUCCCUAGUGCUAAUAACACUGGGGGAUGACAGUACCUGAAGAAUAAGCACCGGCUAACUACGUGCCAGCCGCCGCGGUAA